GACGUAGGGUGCAAGCGUUGUCCGGAUUUAUUGGGCGUAAAGAGCUCGUAGGCGGCUUGUUGCGUCGACCGUGAAAACCCGCGGCUUAACCGCGGGCUUGCAGUUGAUACGGGCAGGCUAGAGUUCGGUAGGGGAGACUGGAAUUCCUGGUGUAGCGGUGAAAUGCGUAGAGAUGCGGAGGAACACCGAUGGCGAAGGCAGCCCCCUGGGUCGACACUGACGCUCAGGCACGAAAGCGUGGGGAGCAAACAGG
rnacentral:rRNA from 1 species